UACGUAGGGCGCAAGCGUUGUCCGGAAUUAUUGGGCGUAAAGAGCUCGUAGGCGGUCUGUUGCGUCCGCUGUGAAAACUCGGGGCUUAACCCCGAGCCUGCAGUGGAUACGGGCAGACUAGAGGUAGGUAGGGGAGAAUGGAAUUCCCGGUGUAGCGGUGAAAUGCGCAGAUAUCGGGAGGAACACCGGUGGCGAAGGCGGUUCUCUGGGCAUUACCUGACGCUGAGGAGCGAAAGUGUGGGGAGCGAACAGG
rnacentral:rRNA from 1 species